rnacentral:rRNA from 1 species
GAUGAACGCUGGCGGCGUGCCUAAUACAUGCAAGUCGAGCGAACAGACGAGGAGCUUGCUCCUCUGACGUUAGCGGCGGACGGGUGAGUAACACGUGGAUAACCUACCUAUAAGACUGGGAUAACUUCGGGAAGCCGGAGCUAAUACCGGAUAAUAUAUUGAACCGCAUGGUUCAAUAGUGAAAGACGGUUUUGCUGUCACUUAUAGAUGGAUCCGCGCCGCAUUAGCUAGUUGGUAAGGUAACGGCCUACCAAGGCAACGAUGCGUAGCCGACCUGAGAGGGUGAUCGGCCACACUGGAACUGAGACACGGUCCAGACUCCUACGGGAGGCAGCAGUAGGGAAUCUUCCGCAAUGGGCGAAAGCCUGACGGAGCAACGCCGCGUGAGUGAUGAAGGUCUUCGGAUCGUAAAACUCUGUUAUUAGGGAAGAACAAAUGUGUAAGUAACUAUGCACGUCUUGACGGUACCUAAUCAGAAAGCCACGGCUAACCACGU